ACCACCGGGACUGCAUUGACCAAUGACAACAAUACUUUGCAAGACGAUGACACAUAUGGUGUUUUAGAUAACUAUCAGUAGUUCUUUUCUAUAUGCCCCGGUUCUGCAAAUUUCCGGUGUGGUCGUUUCCGGUCCACCGUUUACAAAAGUAGCUCUACAAUAUUUGCUUGUGAACUUGGUUGGUCCUAGGCCAUACAUUUGGAUGGCUUUACCGUUUACAAAAGUAGCUCUACAGUGUUUGUUUGAGAACUUGCUUGGUCCUAGGCCAUACAUUUGGAUGGUUUUCCAAACUAAUACGUUUUCUCUUAACGAUUUUCUACGACUUACAACACCAUUAAUCCGCCACGAUGAGUUACAUUUACUUUAAUUGGGCUUAGGGUCCCGCUUUUCUCUGAGCAGGGCCUGCCUGAACUAACACCUUAAGUUCUUAACGGAUAGUUUAGGCUUGUGGACGGGUGUUACCCUAUGACUCUUUCUCUUCUUUGCUUCUAUUCCCUGUCUCUAGUCUCUUAAACUUUGUUCUUCUUUUAGUACAACAACUUAUAAUAGCUCAAUAAACAAACCCAUGAAAUGUAGUCUUAACGUUUUAGAGGCCCAUCUCUUGUAUACCUUUUU